rnacentral:rRNA from 1 species
AGAGUUUGAUCCUGGCUCAGAUUGAACGCUGGCGGCAGGCCUAACACAUGCAAGUCGAGCGGCAGCGGGAAAGUAGCUUGCUACUUUUGCCGGCGAGCGGCGGACGGGUGAGUAAUGCCUGGGGAUCUGCCCAGUCGAGCGGGAUAACAGUUGGAAACGACUGCUAAUACCGCAUACGCCCUACGGGGGAAAGGAGGGGACCUUCGGGCCUUUCGCGAUUGGAUGAACCCAGGUGGGAUUAGCUAGUUGGUGGGGUAAUGGCUCACCAAGGCGACGAUCCCUAGCUGGUCUGAGAGGAUGAUCAGCCACACUGGAACGGAGACACGGUCCAGACUCCCACGGGAGGCAGCAGUGGGGAAUAUUGCACAAUGGGGGAAACCCUGAUGCAGCCAUGCCGCGUGUGUGAAGAAGGCCUUCGGGUUGUAAAGCACUUUCAGCGAGGAGGAAAGGUUGGCGCCUAAUACGUGUCAACUGUGACGUUACUCGCAGAAGAAGCACCGGCUAACUCCGUGCCAGCAGCCGCGGUAAUACGGAGGGUGCAAGCGUUAAUCGGAAUUACUGGGCGUAAAGCGCACGCAGGCGGUUGGAUA